GAUGAACGCUAGCUACAGGCUUAACACAUGCAAGUCGAGGGGCAGCAUUUUAGUUUGCUUGCAAACUAAAGAUGGCGACCGGCGCACGGGUGAGUAACACGUAUCCAACCUGCCGAUAACUCGGGGAUAGCCUUUCGAAAGAAAGAUUAAUAUCCGAUGGUAUAUUAAAAUCGCAUGGUUUUACUAUUAAAGAAUUUCGGUUAUCGAUGGGGAUGCGUUCCAUUAGUUUGUUGGCGGGGUAACGGCCCACCAAGACUACGAUGGAUAGGGGUUCUGAGAGGAAGGUCCCCCACAUUGGAACUGAGACACGGUCCAAACUCCUACGGGAGGCAGCAGUGAGGAAUAUUGGUCAAUGGACGAGAGUCUGAACCAGCCAAGUAGCGUGAAGGAUGACUGCCCUAUGGGUUGUAAACUUCUUUUAUAUGGGAAUAAAGUAUUCCACGUGUGGAAUUUUGUAUGUACCAUAUGAAUAAGGAUCGGCUAACUCCGUGCCAGCAGCCGCGGUAAUACGGAGGAUCCGAGCGUUAUCCGGAUUUAUUGGGUUUAAAGGGAGCGUAGGUGGAUUGUUAAGUCAGUUGUGAAAGUUUGCGGCUCAACCGUAAAAUUGCAGUUGAAACUGGCAGUCUUGAGUACAGUAGAGGUGGGCGGAAUUCGUGGUGUAGCGGUGAAAUGCUUAGAUAUCACGAAGAACUCCGAUUGCGAAGGCAGCUCACUAGACUGCAACUGACACUGAUGCUCGAAAGUGUGGGUAUCAAACAGGAUUAGAUACCCUGGUAGUCCACACAGUAAACGAUGAAUACUCGCUGUUUGCGAUAUACAGUAAGCGGCCAAGCGAAAGCAUUAAGUAUUCCACCUGGGGAGUACGCCGGCAACGGUGAAACUCAAAGGAAUUGACGGGGGCCCGCACAAGCGGAGGAACAUGUGGUUUAAUUCGAUGAUACGCGAGGAACCUUACCCGGGCUUAAAUUGCAUUUGAAUAAUCUGGAAACAGGUUAGCCGCAAGGCAAAUGUGAAGGUGCUGCAUGGUUGUCGUCAGCUCGUGCCGUGAGGUGUCGGCUUAAGUGCCAUAACGAGCGCAACCCUUAUCUUUAGUUACUAACAGGUCAUGCUGAGGACUCUAGAGAGACUGCCGUCGUAAGAUGUGAGGAAGGUGGGGAUGACGUCAAAUCAGCACGGCCCUUACGUCCGGGGCUACACACGUGUUACAAUGGGGGGUACAGAAGGCAGCUACCUGGCGACAGGAUGCUAAUCCCAAAAACCUCUCUCAGUUCGGAUCGAAGUCUGCAACCCGACUUCGUGAAGCUGGAUUCGCUAGUAAUCGCGCAUCAGCCAUGGCGCGGUGAAUACGUUCCCGGGCCU
rnacentral:rRNA from 1 species